GACGAACGCUGGCGGCGUGCCUAAUACAUGCAAGUUGAGCGAUGAAGAUUGGUGCUUGCACCAAUUUGAAGAGCAGCGAACGGGUGAGUAACGCGUGGGGAAUCUGCCUUUGAGCGGGGGACAACAUUUGGAAACGAAUGCUAAUACCGCAUAACAACUUUAAACAUAAGUUUUAAGUUUGAAAGAUGCAAUUGCAUCACUCAAAGAUGAUCCCGCGUUGUAUUAGCUAGUUGGUGAGGUAAAGGCUCACCAAGGCGAUGAUACAUAGCCGACCUGAGAGGGUGAUAGGCCACGUUGGGACUGAGACACGGCCCAAACUCCUACGGGAGGCAGCAGUAGGGAAUCUUCGGCAAUGGACGAAAGUCUGACCGAGCAACGCCGCGUGAGUGAAGAAGGUUUUCGGAUCGUAAAACUCUGUUGGUAGAGAAGAACGUUGGUGAGAGUGGAAAGCUCAUCAAGUGACGGUAACUACCCAGAAAGGGACGGCUAACUACGUG
rnacentral:rRNA from 1 species